rnacentral:piRNA from 1 species
UACACGUUGAUGGGAGUGUAAAUUAGUUCA